ensembl:lncRNA
AUGUUCGAUGUGGUUCCCCUGUCCGUUUGGCUCUUAGUGUUGUUUGCUUUUGGAUGUCUGUGUUUCCCCAGAACCUCAUCCACUCUCCGCACGUUCACUCAGCCACGGACCCUUACCUUCGGCUCUAUUCCCCGCAGUUCCGGUGCCACUCUCUCCUGCUGCCUACACGCCGACGUCAUCCGGAUUUCUCACCUUCUCUCCGUCAUCAACUGGAUUCCUCACCUCUUCACUCUCUCCACGGAUAAUCGUUGUCUCAUCUUCAUACUGUCCUUUCACCCACCGUCACAUAACGAUCUCACCACCAUGGAAGCAGUGAGCACCAAUACCCUCACCGACUUCAUGCACCACAGUGGUCAACGCAUGGAUCAGCAGCAGGACAGCAUCUCUAACACCGGGCGUGCUAUCCGAGCGCUGGUGGCACAGGUGUCAGAGCUCACCCAGCGGAUCCAUCAGCUCAAAUCUCCUAUUUCGCCCACCGCACCGCCUGUGCCGUCCAUCCCCCGGGAGGUUCCCCAGGACCACUUCCGGCCAGAGCCACAACUUCUGGCGGAGGUCCCAAGGACUGUGUUUGUACUGUGGAGGCUCUAAUCAUAACAUCAACUCAUGCCCGGUUAAAAGAGCCAGCCCGGUAGUAAAUUUGAGGCUACUAUCGGGUGGGAUCUCCGCUGAGAAGUCCUCAUCUACAUCAUCGACCCACCUUCCGGUGAAACUGCAGUGGAAGAAUCAACAUCAUGCGUGUCUUCUGGACUCCGGAGCCGAAGGUAAUUUCAUGGAUUCUACACUUGCACAUCACCUGAACAUUCCUGUCCUUCCUGUGUCUCUCCCCAUCCAUGUCACUGCACUCAACGGCCAGGAACUGCCUCACGUUACGCACCAUACAGAACCCAUCACACUGAUCACGUCUGGGAACCAUCAAGAAACCAUAUCCUUUUUUUCAUGGACUCCCCUGUUGCUCCCAUUGUUUUAGGUCACCCCUGGUUGUCCAAACAUAAUCCACGAGUGGAAUGGGGUUCUAACACUGUCACAUUGUGGAGUGAGAGUUGUCAUGAUUCUUGUCUGGUUUCUGCUUGUCCUGUUGUUCCUGUUUCUAUCUUUCAGAAGGAGACCAUGGUUUUGCCAAACGUGCCCGUUGAGUAUCUGGACCUGAAGGAAGUGUUCAGUAAGUCCCGUGCUGCUUCUCUUCCUCCGCAUCGUCCCUAUGACUGAGCCAUAGACUUAGUGUCAGGUAAGUCUCCGCCUAAGGGCAAGUUAUACUCACUUUCUAUUCCUGAGAGGGAGGCCAUGGAGAAAUAUAUUUCUGAUUCCUUAGCCUCUGGGUUCAUCCGUCCUUCCUCUUCUCCAGCGGGAGCGGGUUUCUUUUUGUGGAUAAGAAGGAUGGUUCGCUGUGACCUUGCAUUGAUUACCGAGAGUGGAACAAAAUUACUAUUAAGAAUACUUAUCCUUUACCACUCAUGUCUUCAGCUUUCGAGAGGUUGCAGGGAGCAUCUAUAUUUACAAAAUGGGAUUUACGUAAUGCUUAUCAUUUGGUCUGCAUCAGGAAGGGGGAUGAAUGGAAAACCGUCUUUAACCCUUUCGAGUCGAUUAACGCAUAUAUGCAUUUUGAGUCAUUUUCUCCUGAUAACCCCAAUCUGUAAAGGGUGUAGUUUUUUUGGGAUACAGACAUAAUAACAAAAAACCUUUGUGCACUUAUAAAAUUAAGAUAACAAACAAGGUGCGCUGUCUGCAGACUUUGUCUGAGCUGAUCGUCAUGUACAAACACGUCAUUAAAAUGAACUGUAACUCCGUGAAUUCUCAACGAAGAGACAUGAAAGAGAUAUCUAUAGAAAGCCUGACAUGUCUACCUUUAAACUAAACAAGUGCUGCCAAAAACAAAUAUUCUGAGAAAAAGUAAUCCAUAUGAAAAUAACGCGAUGUACAUUUUUCACUUCUACAUUCAUUAUAUCUAAUGUGACCACGCCCCCGCACUUAACGCGCUAUUCAGAUUCAAACUGAAGUGCGCGGCUUGAAUACACCCACACAGAAGAAAAAGCAGCCAGACUGUUCAAGUUUUUAUUUUAUUUUACUGUUUGCUUUGCGAUGAGAGGAAUAAGACAUAAUUCACCCCAAAAAUAUGUGAUGUGGUUGAGGAUUUGAGAUAUGGAUUUCCUCAGAAAAAAGAAUGAAGCACUUUAUUCAGCAGAGAUCAUAAACAUGAGUAAGUCUCUUUUUAUUUAUUUAUAUACUUGUACUAGUUUUCACAUAACGUGUAAACAUUUUACUAGUUAGACUUUUUCCAAAUACUUUUUCCAAACUAUAAUUCCUGACUAAAUGUAUAAUCAAGUGAAACAUUAUGAAGUUUCAAUAACAAUAUACAAUACUAUACUAUUCAAAAGCUUGAUGUA